rnacentral:rRNA from 1 species
CGCCUUGCCAGCCCGCUCAGAACUCAAAGGAAGUUGACGGGGCCCGCACAAGCGGUGGAGCAUGUGGUUUAAUUCGAUGAUACGCGAGGAACCUUACCUGGGCUCAAAUGUAUGUUGACGUAUUCUGAAAGGGAUACUUCUUCGGACAAUAUACAAGGUGCUGCAUGGUUGUCGUCAGCUCGUGCCGUGAGGUGUCGGGUUAAGUCCCAUAACGAGCGCAACCCCUAUCAUUAGUUGCCAUCAGGUCAAGCUGGGGACUCUAAUGAAACUGCCUACGCAAGUAGUGAGGAAGGUGGGGAUGACGUCAAAUCAGCACGGCCCUUACGUCCAGGGCUACACACGUGCUACAAUGGUCGGUACAAAGGGUUGCCAAGCCGCGAGGUGGAGCUAAUCCCAUAAAACCGAUCGUAGUCCGGAUCGCAGUCUGCAACUCGACUGCGUGAAGUCGGAAUCGCUAGUAAUCGUGAAUCAGAAUGUCACGGUGAAUACGUUCCCGGGCCUU